rnacentral:lncRNA from 1 species
AUGACCCAGCACGCUGUACGGUGCAUUUUCCUUUCCACUUACCAUGGUGCUUUUAGCACCAUUAUGGCUUCUUUCCAACAGUCAUUACGCUUUCUGGGCUUUUUCUAAGAGGACAGGGAUUUGUAUUUAUUCAUCUUAUUUACCCCACAGCUUCUAGAACACUGCCUUGCACACAGUGGACAAUGACGAGCUGCUGAAUAAGUGUGCGAACCGAGGAGAAAUGCAUGUGUUGCUUACAAUGUUUCCUCUGAAUGCUGCCAACAAUGAGAAACAAGUAAUAGUUUCUAUCAGUGCUUUUCAGCCCAAAUCUUGCGGACCCCACAUAUGUUCAAAAGACUGCAUUUCCAAGGAGGGUGGCAGGAGCCGGGCUUCCAAUGUUUGGAAUCAACACUGCCAUUAAAUUUACUUCCAAGAGGUCCAAAUGAACACAAGAACGGAUGAAACGUAACCAAACAGCACCUCGGCGGACGAGCUACAUGGCGCAUGGGGUGGUUGUGUGGUAGCUACGCCAACAAGGGACAGCAGCUACUCCCGUCCUUCUUCCGCUGCUGCCUUCUCGAAAAUAAACUGUCCUGGCAGAAGAUGGGCCCCGAAGCUAAUGCUCUCCCUUAGGAAAUGUGCUCUGGCCACUUAGAAUCCCUGAGGUGAAAAGAACUUCUUCCAACCCCUCUGCCCUGAGGUUCAAGGACUGGAAUUGAGGGCUUCAGUUUCCGGGUAAGCCAUGCUCCAAAUUGCAAGGCACACUGUUCAUGUGAGCUAAUGCUUUUAAAUGAUCAUUAUCGGCGGCUGGUAGCAAUUAUUGACUCCGAGUACAUGGACCACAUAGCUGGGAAAUUACUUAUGCGCUGUCAAAGAUUUUCCUAUCCAUAGGUGAAAACUGUUUCAUCCUGAUUAACUCUUUAGUCUCCCACUUUCUUCCUUCAGCCUUAGCAUCCCUAUUCCAUAUGCUAGAUUUGUAAUUUCUUUUCAAAUCUUUUCUUCUUUUACGUACAAUUCAUCUAAAUUUGGCUUGCUUUUCAGUUAAAGUAUCCUGAUAGCUUGAAAAGCCAUGAAAAAUUUGCAGAUACUUUUCAUUGUAGCUUAAAACAUUAAAAUGAUGGCAUUAAAAGCUCAGGGUAGG